rnacentral:lncRNA from 1 species
AAAGUCCUGGGGCCCAAAGAAAGUUCAUCUAAUUCCACAGGUUAAAAACCCUGAAAAUGAAAACAUGACUAUUCUUCAGUUUGGAGUGGCUGAACUGUGAAGUAAAUUAACUACUGUUCAACAUCUAGCACUGGGGAGGAAGACACACUUUUAACAGGGAAGCGCCUGAGGAAAGAUACAGGUGUUUGAGGCUGGAAGGGAUCCUGAGAGGUCAUCACCCUGCCUUAAGGCAGAGUGAAUCUAAAGUCUCCUAGAGGAAAAUGAUGAAGAAUUUAAGAAUUCCACUACUCUUCUGCAGGACCACCCUCCUCAAUCCCCUGUUCCUGCUCCUCCAAACCAAAUCCAUCUUAGUAAGAGGACUCCUAGGAGACAGAACAAUAUCUGGAAAUAAGGAGAAACUAAGGAAUAUUCCUGGAAAGAAAGAAAGAAAAGCCUUGCAGAGGAGACAUCAAACUGGAUGA